UGGGGAAUAUUGCACAAUGAGGGAAACCCUGAUGCAGCGACGCCGCGUGAAGGAUGAAGUAUUUCGGUAUGUAAACUUCUAUCAGCAGGGAAGAAAAUGACGGUACCUGACUAAGAAGCCCCGGCUAACUACGUG
rnacentral:rRNA from 1 species